rnacentral:lncRNA from 1 species
GGUAUCCGUUGUCAUCGAUGUCUACGGCACCUCGAAGGGAGAAGCCAAAGGCAGAGCCUGUGGGGAAGGGGCUGUCCAGGACCUGGGAGGGACGUGAGCUCAGCCCCUCACUCUGACCCAGGAACACCAGCACUUGGCCCCGGCCACUGGGACCCCCGUAGGGGGCAGCCACUGCAACGUCUGGAAGGAGUAACAGAAAGGAAGUGGCUGAUUGUUAUUCAGCCUUUUGAGAUGGAGUCUCGCUCUGUUGUCCUGGCUGGAGUGCAGUGGUGCAAUCUCGGCUCACUGCAACCUCUGCCCCCCCCGUUAAAGUGAUUCUUGUGCCUCAGCCUCUUCAGUAGCUGGGAUUACAGGCGCCUACCACCAUGCCCGGCUAAUUUUUGUAUUUUUAGUAGAGACGGAGUUUCACCAUGUUGGUCAGGCUGGUCUCGAAUUCUCGACCUCAGGUGCCGCCUCUCCCCAGCACCUGCUGCACGGCCUGAGUUCCAGGCAGUGGAGGCCAUCACAGGCACCCAACUCCAACCUCUCCCCUGGCCCCACAUCCAGUCUCCCACCAAGUCCUAAUAAUCCGAGUCCUAAAUAUCUGUGAAGUCACUCCCAUCUCUAACUCCACCGCCAAAAUCCACAUCCAGGUGGUCAUUGUCUCUUGCCUGGAUUAAGGCAAACACAUCCUAAUUAGUCUUCAACUCUCCCAUCUGCUCUCCACUCAGCACCCCAUGUGUCUAAGCCACAUACUUAUAUGCUUAAAACCCAUCCUGGUUCUGGCUGCCCUCAGGCCAACUCCAUGCUUUUUGAGUGGCUGUUAACCCCUCUGCAGCAAGUUGGGCUCCUCUCUUCCCUCACCAUUGUAGCCAUCCCAGUCGAGGUCGCCCAGGGGUGCGAUGGCAGAGCCGAAUCGCCCAUAGAGCUGUGUGCCAGUCAGCAGGAGGCUGGGGGCACCCAGCGCGUGGGGGCCUCGCGGCUGCAGGAACAAAUACACACGCCCCACUUCGGCCAGUUUUCGGUCUGCCCGG